UUGUCAGCCCUCCACGUGGAGGUCUGACCACUCUGCGAUGAACAAGGCUAUUCUUAUUAAGACAACAAAAGGCAAGUGAGGAUGUGACAGGAGGAAGAUUCCAGUGCUCUCUACAGUGUGCAGACUUCACUACAGACCCUCCAGGCUGAGGCAAAAAAAAAAAAAAAAAAAAGAUCGCUGCGAUUCAAAGAACAGGACUCUACUUUGAGAGAGGCCAACCAAAUGAGAAUCUGGGCCUUGGGUCCCCCUUGGGUCAGCUAGCAGGUGGGAAUGAGAUGAAGCAGAGCGGGAACAAGGAGGAAAAAAAAGAAGAAGAAAAAAAAGAAACAGGAUGGCAGAGUGAGAACGUCACAUCUGGGCUGAAUUAGGAAAGUAAUACGGCGGGCCCAGAAAAAGUGUUUGAGGAUCUGGGAGGCAGAUCUCCUUUCCUUAGGAACAGCAGCUCUCCAAGGCAGGAGCAGGAAUCCCAAAUUAUCCAGGGGGUUAGGGGGCGCAGUGCCCCUGAGCCCCGAGCCCCAUAGCGGAGGUAACGUAUUCAAUGGCCUGGGGCGAGUGGAGGAGAGGAGCGGCCCUGCUGCAUACUGAUGGCAGGGAGAGAAGCCAGUAAUUGGAGCUGCAGAGGAGAGGGGAGAGGAGGGCAAGCACUGGGAGAUGAUGGCUUUGUUUUCUCUCUUCCUGUCUGUGCCGCUCAAAACUCCUCCCCCCGCAGACCUCUCUCUCCCUCACACUCACUAAGUAGAGAUAUGGAGAAAUUGAAUAGAGAUACUUGCUAAUUGGUCUCUUGCUGCUUGCUUAAAGGACCAUAGACAUUCUUUUUCAUUUGCCUAUUGAAACUAAUAAACUAUGUCUGUCUGCGUUUGUAACGCCUGUGUGAGUGUGGUAAAUCAAGGAUUACAUGAAGCACUGUGUGGCUCUGAUGGAGAAAAAGGAAGAAGGUGUGAAGGACUGUUAUUACAGCGGGUUUUAAGAAUGGUCGUGGUCGAAUCUGCUCACUUAAAUGAGCAUGUCCUUUAACAAAGCCACGCGCAUAAUACCAUACCAUAGAGCUCGACUGGAUCAUUCGCCGCUUUAUUUCUCUUGGCGUGAAACGUAUGUGUUAUGUCCACGGAAGCCAAUUUAAAACCAGUGCCGGCUAAUAUGAAGUAAAUUGGUCAAUACUAUUUUAAUCAGAGCACAUCAUGGUUAAUUAGGAAAAUUACUUUGACAAACGGUUUUGAAGCUGGUGCGCGAGCUCAAGCCAACUCUGCAAUCAGGCUCAUUCCUCACGGUGGUGCUCCCUCACGUGGGGUAAGGAACGCUGGGAGAGGGCCGUUGCAUACAUUACACACCAUCACCAUCACCAUCAAACCAGCCAGGAGAAAGAGGAGGUGUGGAGAUGAAUCCGUCGCCUAAAUACUUCCAAAACUGGCACAUUAUCCACACGACGUCCUCUGUUGACACAGUUAAAUGGUAUGAAACAUACUGGAUGCAAGAUGCAAGAAAAGGAGCUCGCGGUGGCGUGUUUCAAGCCAUCGCCGUCGGCCGGUCUGCCCUUAACAGGUUGCAGCCCCGCAGGUCACGAGAAGGACAUAAGCAAGUGGAGCUUUCAUUUCCUGUCAAAGAGGAGCGGAGAGAUGCUUUCCGAGGCAUCAGUCGCGGGCUAAUUGGGCCCCGGUGGGUGACACUGCAGUAUCAUAAAUAAAACAAACACAGUUGUGGUGUUUCUGCCACUGGACUCUUUAAACCUUCAUCACAGAGCAAGCGGUUCCGAUGAAACACCCAGCCUAAUUACUGUGGUACGGGGCUGUUAUCUGUUCUGCCUCGCCGUAAUUGAUCCUCUUUUUUUUCCGCGCGCAUUUAUGUUUUUAAUCAGAAAUGAGAGCAUGCAAUGCCUGAGAGCUUCAAGACCUUGUAGGAGCCGAUAAUUAGCCGCUCUGGUUAAUGGGCCUAACCGUGCUCGCGUGCUACAUGACUCUCCGGUGUCAUAACGUGGCAGAGCUUGGAGGAGACGGUGCUCAGGGGUGAUACACAUGUGAUUAGUCUCCUCACUUCACCACAGCCCUCUUCACACCUUAGCUCUGCAGUCAGCGGCACCGCAUGCCUCUGGUGGAGAAAAUUACAUAUCCUGAACUGCACUCGCUAAUCAAAUCGGCGCCGCGUGAACCCCUGACUGAUCCGUGACCAGUGCUAAGGUUUAAUCUGUGUUUUAAUUCUCUUGAAAGGGAAGGGAAAUACUGAGACACGCAAGUAGUGUCUGCGGAGUGAGACUUCAAGUGUAGCAGAUGAAAGUAGUGUGGCCUCUUUAAUACGCGCUGCAUUUGUGUGUUUGUAUAGCCGCAUGUAUGCUAAUUUGGAUAAAUAUACAACUUGCCCUUGGCCGUGAAUUGUAAAUCAGGCUAAUAAUAAUACACUUACAGUCUGCUGCUUCUUUUAAAUUCACACUGGAUCAAAAUACAUCAGCUCCCCCCGAUUGUCAUGUUGCGCAUUCCUCAUUCUGCUGGGUUUGCAGGAGAUUUCACUUUGUUAUUCAGCCAGUGGCUCCUUCCUUGGGACCAUAUAUCCAUAUUCAUUCAGAACCUAUAGAAUGUGUCAAAUAGAGGUGUCCUAAUUGUGUCCUUGAUGAAAGGCUAUUAAUAUUGAACACUUUCACAUUCACCCAUGUGCCAGCGCGGAGGAAAAUGUGUUUUCCCCUUCUUCCAGCGAGACAAAAAGCAGAUCUGUUCAUAUCUCUAAUGAUACCUGAUUCCCCGGGGGUUAGUGGCGAGACUAGCGGUGUGGCUUUAGCAGAUUCAUCAAACAAAAUACGGUGCUCUUUCCUCAGGAGGCUGAGAGUCACAUUGCGUUAUAUCACUGUUAAUUAGAAUGAAAUAUGCAGUUCAAUUAUUCUUUGUAUUGUUUCCUGACGCGUGUGCCCGUGCUAACUAUAGAGCGCUGAUGUAACGGCGAGUGUUAGAAAGCUAAAUACUUUAUUCUCCCACAGUUUACCCAUUUUUCCACAUAACAAAGGGAGCCCGUAACUACUCCACGCAGUUUGAAGGUUCUUGCAAGUCUCAUAAGCAGUACUGUCAUGAUUGCGGCAGUAGCCGGCCUGAUUGGCUGGGUGGCCGGGUGACUGCUCCCAUGUGACAUUGUUUUUGAGGCAGCCAGUAGCUGUCCUGUGGCCGGUGUCAGUACCCGGCAACCUCUGAUCCGGGAACAGCAACUGUCAGGCCUGCACCUGUAACACCGAGACCUUGUGCCUCCGCGCCAUCCACAACGAGGGGUUGCGCUCAGACAUGCUUUGCAUCUCGCCGGCACUCAUUGGCCCAAGCAAUACUCCCGAGACUGGGCAUGAUCCCAGCUGUUGUCUUCAUUUUAAUGCACUCUGAAUAAUAUUAAAGCAGAAUCAGUUGAAUUUAUUAAUGCAGCUUGCCCCUUAGAGAGAUGCUUUUAAAGGCCAAUGAUUUAAUUUUAGCUCUUAAAGGCCAUCCUCUAUUCUUGAUGCUAUAAAGAAUUAUGGCUUUUGCCAUGUGUUAACACCAGCGUGUACUCUGGGCCACAAAAUGAAUUAUUAGUAAACUGGAGCUGCUGAAAACAGCGGCUAUUAGCAGCCAUUUUUCUCUCUGUUGUUAUCGCGGACAUAUUCCCAGCCCCUAUUCCCAGAGACAACAUCAAUCCUGGUUAGCGUGAUUUAUAUCUUCUAUCAUUGGGAGAGACUAAAGCAAUGUGCCGUGAUGUUAGUUACAAUCUAGAACAAACAGCGAAAGCAGGUUACAGCAUCAUUUUAAAAGCUCCCCCGUGCAGCCGGCUCAGGUAGAUGCAGGCAAAUAAAUCGGUAAAGCUCCGUCACUUCUGUCAUUGAGAUUGUGUUUUCUGCUGUGUUGUCUGCUCUUUAUUGGUGUCAGGGGUCUGUCUGGAGGCAGACCAUAACCUCUGCACCUUUAAUUUAGGCCAGUUGGGACUUGGAGCGCAGCCACUGAUCUCGGUGACCUGCUUCUCAGGUGGUACAAGCAGACCGAAUAACACGUGCAUAAGAGCCUUAACACAUGUAAGACAGCCAUGAGUCGCACUUUUCUUACUUUGUCCUACUGUGCGCAUUAUGUCUCUCAGAGAAGAGGUCAGAGAACCUUAACGGCAUUGCACAUGUAACAAUUACUAAGGAGGUGCUGAGAGUAGUGGCUUAUUCAAAUGAGGAGGUUUUUUUUGUUUUUUUUUUUUGCUGCGACGCAUCUCCUUGUAAAGCAGCGCAGAACUGCAACAGAGAGAAAGGGUGCAGUGUUCUCUCUCUCUCUGCACUUGGUAGUUUGACGCCCGCUCCGGGGCUGAACAUCAGAGGAGCGGCUGCUGAAAAAACAGGUUGUAUGGGUCCUUGCACACAGCCUGCCUGUGGUGCUGCCUGAAGGACUGCCAUGGAAACAAGGAGUGUGACAGGCUCUGGGGGGAUCCGCCACAGCUGCAGGCACUUCCUUUUUGACAGCCUGAUGAAGACAUCACUGCCACACCAUGCACAACAACAACAACUACUGGAGAGAGAGAAAAAAAAAUGUGAUCAGACAAUGUUAACCGCUGUGUGGCUCAAAUGUUCAUUAGCAGGCUUGUAAAACAUCCAGGGAUUUUCCCCACUGCAUUGGGGGACCAUAUUGCACAGUGACUUCCUCUGCUGAGAUUCGCCGCCCUCCCAGGAGAAAAUACAUUGAUAAAUAAUUCCUUAAAUAUCAUCACACCUCUUUGAAGGGGGGGGGGCUUAAGUGUGUUUGUGCCUAUGAGUGCGUGGCAUGAGUGUGCACUGGCGCAUGGAGACCCGAAUCAACAAUUGUUGAAACCCUGUCAGACUCGCCUGUAUGAUCCGCUGACUGUGAAUGAUACGGGGAACAUCCAAGUCCACAACCUCGGUGCCACGGACUCAAAGAUUUGACAGCUUGGAGGCAGGCAACCGUGGUCCCACGUGACCUCUCCUAAUGUCACUGGCAGCAUUUGCCUCAAUAAUAUAUCUGACGCAUGACACAAUAUUAUUUGAACUUAAAAAUUGCUCUUUUCCAAACUUGUUUUUUUUUUAUGGGUUGAAUGUGGCUUUAUGUGCCCACUAAUUGUCGGCUCCUUACUUUUACCUAUUCUGUCACAGAUUUAGAUGUCCUGGCGCUGCAAUUUAGCUGUUUGCCGAAUGGCGAUUAAAAGUACCCCGAGACUAUUGCUUAAUUGGUUUCACCUCUUGGGGACACUUCAUCGGGUCUUGCCAGUGAUCUGCAUGUACCCUCCACCCCUCCCCUCCCCCAUCUCUGCACCCCCCCGGCACAGCCACCACCACCCCCCAGCCCCGAUGGAGCCAAGAAUGUAGGAGGGUUUCAGCCAGUGUGUGGGAUUUAGCUCGUCAGAAGCUCAGGGUCACCUCCACACCCUCUCACUUUGAAAUGGACCCCUGGUGGCAGCUCCUGGGAGAGCCCAGUGAUGUCUCUAUCAGCCUGUCAAAAGAGAUAGCCCGGGGCUCCACCGGGUCCCCCUGAGCCAAUCAAACUCUUCACAAAGCACAGAUGGAUGCUCUUUCACCAGCGUGCUACUGCUGAGGAGGGGGGCGCCCGGCCGUGAUGCUCAGUCCCCCAAUCAGUAAGAACAAACUCCCAUCGGUGGGGUCCAAGCCUCAGUUCAGCCCAACUUCAGUUCUAACUAUGUAUAUUUUAAAAGAGGACUUGCCAUGUGUCUACUAUCAGACAGAGAGCAGGUAAAGGAGGAAACUUUCUGUCUUUAGCCGCCUGUGAUGUAGACAGUCUCAUCUAUUGAAUCACUGCAGUAUUCAUAUUUUGAAGGAAACUGUCACAAAUGUUUUGAACAAUCAGAAUGGUGAAAGGUGUCAAUAAUUGAUAUUUUGAAUGCAAACUUAAUAUGGAGGAGAAAAUUGAUAGAGGUCAUACUACAUCGCUCUACUUGAAAAAAAAAAAAAAAAAAAAAACUAUUGUGGGAAGAUGGAAAAUGCAGCGUGUGUGUGUAGCCAUUAGAUAGGCCAGGUGAUUUUAGUGGAAAUGUAAAGCACUAAGUGCUGAGGAUGGAGAGAGCACUCUAUGUGAGAUGAGCUCUUUCUCUCUCAUCUGGACCCUGUUAUUGUGAGAAGGCAACAAAGCAAUGCAUUAGGAAGCACACUGGAGCCACACAGCUUUGAUGUGAGCUCGGUAACCAAGGCGCAGCGGUGGCCGGUGUGUGAGCUCUGUUCCAAUGGCUGUGUUGUGUAAUCAGAUGUGUUUACUGUGUAUUCAAGUAAAGAAGUGGUGUAAUCCAUCCUCACUAGAGUGCAGUUAUUGAAAAACACCCCGGCAAAAACAAGAGCUCAAACUGAUCAAGAUUCUUUAUUCAGGAUUCUCGCAAAUUCUCCAUUUGACGAUGCAGACACGAUACUGAGCACAAAUAAAACUCUGAAAUUAAUCAGUCUGAGAUACACUGACAUAGAAACUUUACUUAAAAAAAUGAAGUCAGCUGAAAAAUAAUACACAUAUAAAUAUAGAUUUGCCGCUGAGUUAAAAUUAAGAGAGCUGACAGCAUUAUAUUAUGUACAUUAAAUCCUAACCUCUGGCCAAACAUUUUAAAUGUGCAACAUAACAAAUAAUUUUGAUGAUUAUUUACAAAUCAAUUGUGAUUCCUAUGACCACAUUUAUAUUUAGAAAUUAGAAGAAAAAAAAAACAUUACCAUGAUUUGUUUUCCAUAAACUUUAG